rnacentral:rRNA from 1 species
ACCUGCCUUAGGUUGGGUAUAAACCCGGGAAACUGGGUAUAAUACCCGAUAGGUCUCGAUUGCUGGAAUGCAUCGAGAUUUAAAGCUCCGGCGCCUAAGGAUGGGUCUGCGGCCUAUCAGGUAGUAGUGGGUGUAGCGUACCUACUAGCCUACGACGGGUACGGGUUGUGAGAGCAAGAGCCCGGAGAUGGAUUCUGAGACACGAAUCCAGGCCCUACGGGGUGCAGCAGGCGCGAAAACUUUACAAUGCUGGCAACAGCGAUAAGGGAACCUCGAGUGCCAGGUUACAAAUCUGGCUGUCGAGAUGCCUAAAAAGCAUUUCAUAGCAAGGGCCGGGCAAGACCGGUGCCAGCCGCCGCGGUAACACCGGCGGCUCGAGUGGUAACCGUUAUUAUUGGGUCUAAAGGGUCUGUAGCCGGCCGGAUAAGUCUCUUGAGAAAUCUGGCAGCUUAACUGUCAGGCUUUCAGGAGAUACUGUCUGGCUCGAGGCCGGGAGAGGUGAGAGGUACUUCAGGGGUAGGGGUGAAAUCUUGUAAUCCUUGAAGGACCACCAGUGGCGAAGGCGUCUCACCAGAACGGACCUGACGGCAAGGGACGAAAGCUAGGGGCACGAACCGGAUUAGAUACCCGGGUAGUCCUAGCCGUAAACGAUACUCGCUAGGUGUCGGCCACGGUGCGACCGUUGUCGGUGCCGUAGGGAAGCCGUGAAGCGAGCCACCUGGGAAGUACGGCCGCAAGGCUGAAACUUAAAGGAAUUGGCGGGGGAGCACCACAACGGGUGGAGCUUGCGGUUUAAUUGGAUUCAACGCCGGG